UGUCAUUCACAACGAAAAAAUGGUAUUCAAAGCGAAAACGUAAACUAUGAUUUUGCAAAAAUAACAAAAAACAACAACAAUCAUGCCCAAUGGUUCGGAUGCAUUCCAGGCUCGCUGAAAUUGGCCCCCGCCAAAGCGAACCAAAAAAGACGACACUCCUUGGAUGGCAGAGAUUGCCAGAGAGCGACUCGAAGAGCAGAAGGACCUUCACAGGAAGAAGGAAGAACAUGAAAUAAGGAAGGAAAAGAUGGUCGAGGACCUCAUCAACACGCAAAAAAAAUUCCAGAAUGAUUUAUUGGAAGUGCUGAAAAAUAAUAAUAAGUUUAUAAUUUGCAUUACGGUCUAAACAAUAUUUUGCGAUUGCAGAUCGUAUCUGUUCUGCUGACUGAUUCAAGUCACCAGAACUAUUGCUGCUAUCGGGCAGCAUAAUUGGAAUAAUUUUCUGUUGAACCACGGCCGAAAUAAUUGCUACAUCUUCAUCAUCCAUUAUAAGAAAAAAAUUAAUAAAUCUUCCGCGAAAAUUUGAUGUA